rnacentral:rRNA from 1 species
AUUGAACGCUGGCGGCAGGCCUAACACAUGCAAGUCGAACGGUAACAGGAAGCAGCUUGCUGCUUUGCUGACGAGUGGCGGACGGGUGAGUAAUGUCUGGGAAACUGCCCGAUGGAGGGGGAUAACUACUGGAAACGGUAGCUAAUACCGCAUAACGUCGCAAGACCAAAGAGGGGGACCUUAGGGCCUCUUGCCAUCGGAUGUGCCCAGAUGGGAUUAGCUAGUAGGUGGGGUAACGGCUCACCUAGGCGACGAUCCCUAGCUGGUCUGAGAGGAUGACCAGCCACACUGGAACUGAGACACGGUCCAGAAUCCUACGGGAGGCAGCAGUGGGGAAUAUUGCACAAUGGGCGCAAGCCUGAUGCAGCCAUGCCGCGUGUAUGAAGAAGGCCUGCGGGUUGUAAAGUACUUUCAGCGGGGAGGAAGGGAGUAAAGUUAAUACCUGUGCUCAUUGACGUUACCCGCAGAAGAAGCACCGGCUAACUCCGU